UACGGAGGGGGCUAGCGUUAUUCGGAAUUACUGGGCGUAAAGCGCACGUAGGCGGAUCUGCAAGUCAGAGGUGAAAUCCCGGGGCUCAACCUUGGAACUGCCUUUGAAACUGCGGGUCUUGAGUUCGAGAGAGGUGAGUGGAAUUCCGAGUGUAGAGGUGAAAUUCGUAGAUAUUCGGAGGAACACCAGUGGCGAAGGCGGCUCACUGGCUCGUUUCUGACGCUCAGGCGCGAUAGCGUGGGGAUCAAACAGG
rnacentral:rRNA from 1 species